GCGCCCGUAGCUCAGCUGGAUAGAGCGGCGGACUUCUAAUCCGCGGGUCGCAGGUUCGAAUCCUGCCGGGCGCACCA
rnacentral:tRNA from 1 species